CCUACGGGUGGCUGCAGUGGGGGAUAUUGCACAAUGGGGGAAACCCUGAUGCAGCGACGCCGCGUGGAGGAAGAAGGAAUUCGUUCUGUAAACUUCUGUUAUAAAGGAAGAAAGACGGAUGGAGGACAUGACAUCCGAGUGACGGUACUUUAUGAGAAAGCCACGGCUAACUACGUGCCAGCAGCCGCGGUAAUACGUAGUUGGCAAGCGUUAUCCGGAAGUAUUGGGUGUAAAGAGGGAGCAGGCGGAAGCAAAGGUCUGUGGUGAAAGACUGAAGCUUAACCUCAGUAAGCCAUAGAAACCGGGCAGCUAGAGUGCAGGAGAGGAUCGUGGAAUUCCAUGUGUAGCGGUGAAAUGCGUAGAUAUAUGGAGGAACACCAGUGGCGAAGGCGGCCUGCUGGACGACAACUGACGGUGAGGCGCGAAAGCGUGGGGAGCAAACAGGAUUAGAUACCCUGGUAGUC
rnacentral:rRNA from 1 species